GAUGAACGCUGGCGGCGUGCCUAAUACAUGCAAGUCGAGCGAACGGACGAGAAGCUUGCUUCUCUGAUGUUAGCGGCGGACGGGUGAGUAACACGUGGAUAACCUACCUAUAAGACUGGGAUAACUUCGGGAAACCGGAGCUAAUACCGGAUUAUAUUUUGAACCGCAUGGUUCAAAAGUGAAAGACGGUUUUGCUGUUACUUGUAGAUGGAUCCUUGCUGCAGUAGCUAGUUGGUAAGGUAACGGCUUACCAAGGCAACGAUGCAUAGCCGACCUGAGGGGGUGAUCGGCCACACUGGAACUGAGACACGCUCCAGACUCCUACGGGAGGCAGCAGUAGGGAACCUUCCGCAAUGGGCGAAAGCCUGCCGGAGCAACGCCGGGUGAGUGAUGAAGGUCUUCGGAUCGUAAAACUCUGUUAUUAGGGAAGAACAUAUGUGUAAGUAACUGUGCACAUCUUGACGGUACCUAAUCAGAAAGCCACGGCUAACUACGUG
rnacentral:rRNA from 1 species